GGAACGCGCCACGAUCAAAAAUAUUGGCAAAUUAUCGACAAUUUAUGCUCCAAUCAAAUCCCUGAACCUCAUGCACGACCAAUCAUUACGUUUCGUAUAUUUUCAGACCCAUCGUUAUCCCGAUCAAACGCCUCCGUUAUCACGAGUUCUUGUUGCGUCUUGACGCAGCUUUUGACAACAAGCCAAUUGCCUUUCCAACGAGCAAGUUUUCAGCCUCGAUAUCUGCCCUCAAACUUCGUUGCCUACGAUUUAAGCUCGUUUCGUUUCGCGAUUAAAUUCCAUUCUCGGCUCGAUCGAUGAUUCCGCGUCGUACUCGUUGGUACAUCGUCUUCCGAAAUUUCUGACAAAAUACCAAUCCCCGGCGGCAAUCAAACUUUCGAAUACGAUUAAACCUAAACCCGUCUCGGUCCGCUAUUUAAGCUGGUUUCACGCUGGUCCACGGCGCACCGCGAUUGUCGUGUCGAUCGAUAGCUGCAUUGUGACGAGCCUGUUGCGUCCUUGUCCUCGGUGGCCUGACCGGGUCCUUGGGCCUGUUGCUUUGUUCUUCUUGCCUUUUCCAGCUGGACGGUAUCUUCCUUUUGUCGCUCAUGUCGCCGUGGCUCGUUUUUCACAUUCGAUGCAACGGCUUCAGCAGCCUCUUCUUUCGGCGUUCCUCACUCGUCGACUGAAAAAGGGAAUCGCGAGACCACGGAACGAGCGAGAAAACGAGGCUGUACCGACACGCACAGGUGCUCGAUGCGCACACGAUCCAACACUAACUCGAACAUGCCAGCCGACUAGAAAUAUCCUGCUGUGUGUGGUGGUGGCCAGCCGAUGGACAGUGGUCAGACCAGAAGCGGAGGAGUCCACCAGAGUUGGCAGUAUCCCACAAUCGAUAAAUCUAUUUACAAUGGAUUAACCAGGAAACGAUAAACUAAGUACAGUAAUGUGCUGUAACUGAGACAACUAAAUGAAUAAUUCACAACUCAUAACUAAUAGUUCACAACUCAUAACAACUCGCCAACUCUUUCCACUCAACUCUCGACUCCUCGCAACUUGACUCUCAACCAACGACUUCUCACAAUUUGACUCUCGGCUAACGACUGCCGAUUAAUUCGUCUUUCUCCCUUAAGCAUUCCUUUGUUUUUUCUCAUAUCCCCACCACGUACGUGUUCCGCGAUCAUCAUCCCGUAUACUUUCUUCCGCGUAACUAUUCAACCGAAGGACCGACGACACAUUGAUGGACCGCUUGGCCCAUUGAAGUUUCUCGACCCUCUCGGUCUGUCAGCACUUAGGCUUUCUCGCAACGUUGUUUAUAGUUCACCCGAUAUUUCUUAGGCAAUCUGCCCACGAUAUUACAUUAUGUGUAUAUAUAUACGGAACACAUACGUAGUGGAGGUAUGAGAAGAGACAAAGGGAUGCUUAAGGAAGGAAGACGAAUUAAUUAAUUUUAUAUAUAUUGAAAAUUUUAUAUCAAACUCCAAAAUCCUUCCAUCAGCUACUACGUAUGUUUUGGAACGUACUUUUGUUGAGAUACGAUUCCAGUUAGCUGUUAAUGUAUUCUGACUUUUAUAGUGUGAACGUAGGUGUUUAGUGUCUGGCCUGAUCCGAACGUAAUAUUACAAUUGGC
rnacentral:misc_RNA from 1 species